rnacentral:rRNA from 3 species
GAAUGCUGACAUAAGUAACGAUAAAGCGGGUGAAAAGCCCGCUCGCCGGAAGACCAAGGGUUCCUGUCCAACGUUAAUCGGGGCAGGGUGAGUCGACCCCUAAGGCGAGGCCGAAAGGCGUAGUCGAUGGGAAACGGGUUAAUAUUCCCGUACUUGGUGUUACUGCGAAGGGGGGACGGAGAAGGCUAUGUUGGCCGGGCGACGGUUGUCCCGGUUUAAGCGUGUAGGUGUGUGUUCCAGGUAAAUCCGGUUCACUUUAACACUGAGGCGUGACGACGAGGCACUACGGUGCUGAAGCAACAAAUGCCCUGCUUCCAGGAAAAGCCUCUAAGCAUCAGGUAACAUCAAAUCGUACCCCAAACCGACACAGGUGGUCAGGUAGAGAAUACCAAGGCGCUUGAGAGAACUCGGGUGAAGGAACUAGGCAAAAUGGUGCCGUAACUUCGGGAGAAGGCACGCUGACACGUAGGUGAAGUGAUUUACUCAUGGAGCUGAAGUCAGUCGAAGAUACCAGCUGGCUGCAACUGUUUAUUAAAAACACAGCACUGUGCAAACACGAAAGUGGACGUAUACGGUGUGACGCCUGCCCGGUGCCGGAAGGUUAAUUGAUGGGGUCAGCGCAAGCGAAGCUCCUGAUCGAAGCCCCGGUAAACGGCGGCCGUAACUAUAACGGUCCUAAGGUAGCGAAAUUCCUUGUCGGGUAAGUUCCGACCUGCACGAAUGGCGUAAUGAUGGCCAGGCUGUCUCCACCCGAGACUCAGUGAAAUUGAACUCGCUGUGAAGAUGCAGUGUACCCGCGGCAAGACGGAAAGACCCCGUGAACCUUUACUAUAGCUUGACACUGAACAUUGAGCCUUGAUGUGUAGGAUAGGUGGGAGGCUUUGAAGUGUGGACGCCAGUCUGCAUGGAGCCGACCUUGAAAUACCACCCUUUAAUGUUUGAUGUUCUAACGUGGACCCGUUACCCGGGUUGCGGACAGUGUCUGGUGGGUAGUUUGACUGGGGCGGUCUCCUCCUAAAGAGUAACGGAGGAGCACGAAGGUUGGCUAAUCCUGGUCGGACAUCAGGAGGUUAGUGCAAUGGCAUAAGCCAGCUUGACUGCGAGCGUGACGGCGCGAGCAGGUGCGAAAGCAGGUCAUAGUGAUCCGGUGGUUCUGAAUGGAAGGGCCAUCGCUCAACGGAUAAAAGGUACUCCGGGGAUAACAGGCUGAUACCGCCCAAGAGUUCAUAUCGACGGCGGUGUUUGGCACCUCGAUGUCGGCUCAUCACAUCCUGGGGCUGAAGUAGGUCCCAAGGGUAUGGCUGUUCGCCAUUUAAAGUGGUACGCGAGCUGGGUUUAGAACGUCGUGAGACAGUUCGGUCCCUAUCUGCCGUGGGCGCUGGAGAACUGAGGGGGGCUGCUCCUAGUACGAGAGGACCGGAGUGGACGCAUCACUGGUGUUCGGGUUGUCAUGCCAAUGGCACUGCCCGGUAGCUAAAUGCGGAAGAGAUAAGUGCUGAAAGCAUCUAAGCACGAAACUUGCCCCGAGAUGAGUUCUCCCUGAGACUUAAAGUCUCCUGAAGGAACGUUGAAGACGACGACGUUGAUAGGCCGGGUGUGUAAGCGCAGCGAUGCGUUGAGCUAACCGGUACUAAUGAACCGUGAGGCUUAACCUU